rnacentral:misc_RNA from 1 species
AAUUGCUCAUCCAUUCAUCUG